rnacentral:misc_RNA from 1 species
AUGAUACCUGUAAGCCUUUGACCCACCCUGCUAUGGUGUGACGCAUUAGGGUCACAAGCAAUCUCAGGAUAGGCAAAGGGCCACAGAGGUGAAAUAGCUGAAUUCUCCCACUACUAUGUUAGAACCUAAAGGAGGAUCUAGAAAGAGAAGUGACCUGUUUUCAAGAAACCAAAGCAAGCCUAUGCACACUUGUGUGCAGGGGUUUGAUACUGACA